CCAGCUCCCUGGUGGCGGUCCUCGGGACGGGGAAGUUGGUCUUGGCGUUGCGGCCGCUCAUGAGGACGGCGGCCUCGUCGUACGCCCGCGCCGCCUCCUCCGCCGUCUCGAAGGUGAUAGAACACUGAACUGCAGCGCAGAGAAGGAGAAUGGAGAGGAUCGGAGAAGAGUCGUGGGAGAGGCUGGUGGGGUUGGGGGACGCGGGGCGCGCUGUCGGUGAGGUGGUGUGCGUGGCGGGUGGGCAUCGGCAUAACCACCCUCGCUGCUGCCAGUACGUCGAUCGAUGCGAAUGAACACUACCGUAGCCUGAAAAUCGAAUGCGGAGCGACGAACGAAGACAUGGUACCAUGCGCUGCCGGAGAUGAACUGGAGAUGGGUCAGUGUGAUCGAUCGUUGGUAAAGGAAGCAGUUGGGCACAGGACCAUGCAUGCAUGCACCGGUUGAAGGAGGCGGUGAAGCCGGGAGACUCCUGAUCCACAACUCCCGUCAGUACACACAGGCCCUAUUUAGUUCUCACCCCGUAAACGCAAAAUUUUGCGAAAGAAUUUUGCUAAUUUGAAGUACUAAAUGAAGUCUAUUUAUAAAACUUUUUGCAUGGAUGAGCUGUAAAUCGCAAGACGAAUCU